rnacentral:rRNA from 1 species
AGAGUUUGAUCCUGGCUCAGGAUGAACGCUGGCGGCGUGCUUAACACAUGCAAGUCGAACGGGAUCCAUCAAGCUUGCUUGGUGGUGAGAGUGGCGAACGGGUGAGUAAUGCGUGACCGACCUGCCCCAUACACCGGAAUAGCUCCUGGAAACGGGUGGUAAUGCCGGAUGUUCCAGUUGAUCGCAUGGUCUUCUGGGAAAGCUUUCGCGGUAUGGGAUGGGGUCGCGUCCUAUCAGCUUGACGGCGGGGUAACGGCCCACCGUGGCUUCGACGGGUAGCCGGCCUGAGAGGGCGACCGGCCACAUUGGGACUGAGAUACGGCCCAGACUCCUACGGGAGGCAGCAGUGGGGAAUAUUGCACAAUGGGCGCAAGCCUGAUGCAGCGACGCCGCGUGAGGGAUGGAGGCCUUCGGGUUGUAAACCUCUUUUAUCGGGGAGCAAGCGAGAGUGAGUUUACCCGUUGAAUAAGCACCGGCUAACUACGUGCCAGCAGCCGCGGUAAUACGUAGGUGGCAAGCGUUAUCCGGAUUUAUUGGGCGUAAAGGGAACGCAGGCGGUCUUUUAAGUCUGAUGUGAAAGCCUUCGGCUUAACCGGAGUAGUGCAUUGGAAACUGGGAGACUUGAGUGCAGAAGAGGAGAGUGGAACUCCAUGUGUAGCGGUGAAAUGCGUAGAUAUAUGGAAGAACACCAGUGGCGAAAGCGGCUCUCUGGUCUGUAACUGACGCUGAGGUUCGAAAGCGUGGGUAGCAAACAGGAUUAGAUACCCUGGUAGUCCACGCCGUAAACGAUGAAUGCUAAGUGUUGGAGGGUUUCCGCCCUUCAGUGCUGCAGCUAACGCAAUAAGCAUUCCGCCUGGGGAGUACGACCGCAAGGUUGAAACUCAAAGGAAUUGACGGGGGCCCGCACAAGCGGUGGAGCAUGUGGUUUAAUUCGAAGCAACGCGAAGAACCUUACCAGGUCUUGACAUCUUCUGACAAUCCUAGAGAUAGGACUUUCCCUUCGGGGACAGAAUGACAGGUGGUGCAUGGUUGUCGUCAGCUCGUGUCGUGAGAUGUUGGGUUAAGUCCCGCAACGAGCGCAACCCUUAUUGUUAGUUGCCAGCAUUAAGUUGGGCACUCUAGCAAGACUGCCGGUGACAAACCGGAGGAAGGUGGGGAUGACGUCAAAUCAUCAUGCCCCUUAUGACCUGGGCUACACACGUGCUACAAUGGACGGUACAACGAGUCGCAAGACCGCGAGGUUUAGCAAAUCUCUUAAAGCCGUUCUCAGUUCGGAUUGUAGGCUGCAACUCGCCUACAUGAAGUCGGAAUCGCUAGUAAUCGCGGAUCAGCAUGCCGCGGUGAAUACGUUCCCGGGCCUUGUACACACCGCCCGUCACACCAUGAGAGUUUGUAACACCCAAAGCCGGUGGGGUAACCUUUUGGAGCCAGCCGUCUAAGGUGGGACAGAUGAUUGGGGUGAAGUCGGAACAAGGUAGCCGUAGGAGAACCUGCGGCUG